UACAUAGGUCUCAAGCGUUGUUCGGAUUCAUUGGGCGUAAAGGGUGCGUAGGCGGCGCGGUAAGUCGGGUGUGAAAUCUUGGAGCUUAACUCCGAAACUGCAUUCGAUACUGCCGUGCUUGAGGACUGGAGAGGAGACUGGAAUUUACGGUGUAGCGGUGAAAUGCGUAGAUAUCGUAAGGAAGACCAGUGGCGAAGGCGGGUCUCUGGACAGCUCCUGACGCUGAGGCACGAAGGCCAGGGGAGCAAACGGG
rnacentral:rRNA from 1 species